GGGGUAUUUUAAAAGCAGUUAUUAAGUUUUUUUCUUUAAAGCUUUUGAACUUAAUAACACUUUAAGUUAACCUUGUAAACAUUAUUAAGUUUACCUUUCAAAGAUCAAAGAACAAUUAUUAAAACCUUUUUGAUCAGAUAACUAAUAAACUAACUAACUAAAUCAUUGAUGCAUAAUUAACUGCAUCAAUGAUUUUUUUUGUUAUUUUUACCGCAAAAAAUGCAGAUUCAUCUGUUCAAACCAAUUAUUUAAAAAGGCUUUUUUUAUUAUUAAUCAUUCGUUAUUUUUUUACUUGUGAUUUUAGCUUUAAAUCUUAUAAAAAAUUUAAUGAUAAAAGUUUUUUUUAGAAAAGUGUUGUGCAAACUGAUUUAUUGUGCUAUAAUCUUUAAGGCUUAUAUAGCUACAUUGUUCUUUGAAAACUGAAUACGACAAAUCUUUCUAGUCCGAAAUUUGAUUAAAGUAUCAAAUCAAAUUUCAUAUAAUAUAGAUUCAAUAAAAAUAGCUAAUGGAUCAAAUACAUAAGUUACUAAGGGCUUAU
rnacentral:misc_RNA from 1 species